ACAAUUUCUUUAUUUAACUUCGCAAUUAGUUAUCUCCUACUCAACCAACUCUUGUCUACAUUCCAAAGCUCCUGUUUUUAUUCAAUCUUUCUAACAAACGCAGGCAAGCUCUCUCUGGUUUUUAUCAAGGCGAAAGAGAAUGCAGCAAACAGAGGGUAAGGCAAGAAGAUCAAGGGUGUUGAAGAGAAAGAUGGAAUUGAAGAACUUGGAGCUUUACAUUGAAAACAAAUGCAUCAUUGAAGCAAAUGAAAGGCUGAGGAAAAAAGCUGCACUUCUUCACUUGGAGAACUUGGCUUUGCGGUCUCAACUCCAAAUCAUUAGUCCUAUACAAUCUGGCCUUCUGCCCAAUUAAGUGAAUAGAUUAACUUCUUAGCUUUGUUUAAGGCAAGUCUCUAACAUUAAUCUAUGUCAUGGUAAAUAAAGUGGAAACCAAAUUCAGUUACUGUUUUAUUAGCUAAUUGCCAAGAAAGUUAUCGUAGUUGACGGCUUAAGGUAAUCUUCAAAUAAAUAUAUGUAUUUUAGAUC